UUCAAUGAUUAGCUAUGAAUAAAAUCUAUCUAAAUUUCCUCUCCUAAUUCUCUCUUCUUUUUUCCUUCUUCUUCUCUCUUCUUCUUUUCUUCCUUUCAUCAGCUACAAGUUCAUCUUUUCUGUUACUUGUUGAGUGUGAGAGUAACAUUCCUGUUUGGAUAAUGUAAAUUGUGUCUGAUUGGAAAUUUUGUGACAAUAUUUUUUUCUACAUUCAGAUUAUUGAUGGACAUGUCCCCCUUUUAGGGUUUUCUAGAUGAAUUCAGAUCCUUGAGCACAAAGUUUCUUUGCUUGAAGAAAAAAUUGCGGGGCUAUAGAAAGAGAUAAAAGAAUGUCAGAUUAGUUGUGAAGAUUUGACACAAUGAGAUUUUGAUGCCCAGGUUUGUUUAGCUAUUGUUAGCUAAAUAUUUUUAACUUAAUUAUUAAAUGGCUCAAUUACUGCUAGAAGUCUUUUAUAAGAUUCUGAUAUAGCAAGUUGAAUGGAUAUCUCAAUUUUGAAGAUUGAAUCUGCUAAAAAUGGUAAAGCUUGGGAUGAGAUCGACAAUUCUAAUGAAGUUAGACUCAGUUACUGUUGAAACUUAUUUCAUGUUAUUAGUAAAUUAACACAAUUUCUUGUUCUGGUCCUGGAUGGUUCCUUUCUCCUAUGAUUUGAAUUUAGUGAAAAAGUAUGUAAGGAAAAUACAAGAAGUAAAAGCAAAGUUGCGUCACUUACAAAGCUCAAAUAGUACAACGCAUGGAGAACCUGUGAAUUAUUUGGGGUUAGACUUUGUAACUUCAUUCAAAGGAUUUCAAGUUCACAUCAAGGCAAAUGGAUUCAUGUGGAGGCGCUUGGUUCCUAACUCUCUCUUGGUGAAGUGUUUAAAAUCUAAGUAAAUUAGUUAACAUUUCCUUAUGUACCUUUGUCUAUUUUUAGAAUUUCAGUAAUGCAUAUAGAAGAGCCUUGUACCUAGAGCAGUGAUGAGCACAGUUCCGAGGAUAUCAGUGGCUGUUACACUCGGUGGCUGUUGCACUCAUUCGUACAAAAAGAGAGCAGCCAUCCAGUUUAUAUACUAAUGAGGUACGACGGACUGCAUGGAGUUGCAGCAGAAUAACCAACUCUGAUAAAAAAAGAUCAUGCUACCAACAAGUCGAGAUUCGAAGGAACUAAAGUUUCUUUUCCCGUGGGAAGCAGUGUUUCACAGUGUCGCUAGGACCACAUGGAUAAAAUGUCAUAUUUUCCUUUUCUUUUUUGUCCAUUUUCUCUGUUUUCCUAUUUAUCUUAUUGUAAGAUUAAAGGUCUCAAUUGUUGUUACUCCAAUCUUCUCUAUCAUGUAUAGUGAAAAGUUUGUAAGUUUACCCGAAUCUUUCAUAUUCCUUAUUUGGUUGUUCAAGUACUGAUCUUUUAAUAAAUAAUUAUGCUAUUCUUUU